AUUGAACGCUGGCGGCAGGCCUAUCACAUGCAAGUCGAGCGGAUGAAGGGAGCUUGCUCCUGGAUUCAGCGGCGGACGGGUGAGUAAUGCCUAGGAAUCUGCCUGGUAGUGGGGGAUAACGUCCGGAAACGGGCGCUAAUACCGCAUACGUCCUGAGGGAGAAAGUGGGGGAUCUUCGGACCUCACGCUAUCAGAUGAGCCUAGGUCGGAUUAGCUAGUUGGUGGGGUAAAGGCCUUCCAAGGCGACGAUCCGUAACUGGUCUGAGAGGAUGAUCAGUCACACUGGAACUGAGACACGGUCCAGACUCCUACGGGAGGCAGCAGUGGGGAAUAUUGGACAAUGGGCGAAAGCCUGAUCCAGCCAUGCCGCGUGUGUGAAGAAGGUCUUCGGAUUGUAAAGCACUUUAAGUUGGGAGGAAGGGCAGUAAGUUAAUACCUUGCUGUUUUGACGUUACCAACAGAAUAAGCACCGGCUAACUUCGUG
rnacentral:rRNA from 1 species